rnacentral:RNase_P_RNA from 1 species
UGAGUCGGCUGGACGGUCGCGACGCGGGCCUUGGGGCUGGCGCCGAGGAAAGUCCGGGCUCCUCAGAGCAGGGUGGUGGGUAACGCCCACCCGGGGUGACCCGCGGGAAAGUGCCACAGAAAACAGACCGCCGCGCGUCGCGCGGUAAGGGUGAAACGGCGGUGUAAGAGACCACCAGCGCCCAGGGCGACCUGGGCGGCUAGGUAAACCCCACCCGGAGCAAGGCCAGACAGGCGGCGUUCGAGGGCUGCUCGCCCAAGCCGCCGGGUAGGUCGCUUGAAGCCAGUGGCAACACUGGCCCUAGAUGGAUGGCCGUCUUGAAUGACAGAACCCGGCUUACAGGCCGACUCAUCCC